GGGUGACCCCUGCUGGUUCUGACUCCAAGUGGUGUUUUGAUCCAUUGUCCUUUUUUUUACCUCCUUCUAGGUUAACUUGACAUAAUCUUCUCAAAGACGACUUUCCAAAUUCUCUGACACUGCUGAAAGUAUUCCUCUUUCUGUGGGUGUAUUGUAAUGAACUAGAUGCUUCAAUAAAUAUUCAUUAAAUAUUUGCGCUGUGCCAGGGAUUGUUCUGGGCAAACAAGGAUGAAUACAACGGACGAGGUUUUUACUCCGGCUAGUCUGGUAGGAGCACGAUAAUGAACUCUCACGUUAGCAAAUCUGAAAGGCAGGAGGUUACAGCAAACCAGGCAUGGAGAACAAAUAUUGACUCUCUGACAGCAACUAAUUAUUGGCACUUAGAAGCUGCUUAUGAAAGAAUAGCAAGUUCUCUGAGGAGGAAACACUGAAGCCAAGAUCUGAAGGACAAGGGGGAUUUCAGCAGCGGAGCAAGGUUUCACCAAGGCUCUGUGCAAGAAACCAGCUGUCUGAUUCGUGGGAAGAGAAGACUGGUGCGCCCAGUGGCUGGGAGAGUAGGGAGAAGCAGUUUAGUGGCCACAGGAGGUCAUUGGUGAAUUUUCAGUAAGAAAAAAAGAAAGAAAAGAAAGAAAUAAAGACAGACCGGUAUUCCUGCAAAGAGUGGAUUGCAGGGGAGCAAGAGGAGAGUCACAGAGAUCUUUAUCUUCCAACAUAAUGUUUACUGGCAAUACAGGAGAGAACAAAAGACGGCCCAGACACAUGACUUCUUAAAGAUAAGUGUGUCUUUAGCUCCUGCACUUACCCUGAUGGCUCCCUGAAGCUUGGCUGCUGGCUCAGUUCCUGCACAGACAGGUGGACACUGAAAUUCUUUGCAUCAAAACCUGUUAAAAAUACGAAGUAGACAAUAAAUGGCCUAGUUUUCCUCUUGCACGGGAAUGUCAUUUUUCCAGAAGGGGGCGCUCUCAGCCCGCAUGCCACAGAGCAAGGCCCAUACUCUGGUAUCUGAUCUGCUGCUUGGAAAUUGUCUGACAGGAAAAUAUCAACACAAACCAUGCGAUUUGCCGCUGGAGCACGCUGGACCUCAUCUGCUUAAAGAGAUGCAUGGAUAUAGUCAUCACAGUUCAUAAUUUAAUAAACUGCUAAAAAAACCCACACGUUUUCAUUUUAGCGACUUUGGUCUCACAACUAAAUUCACAUUGCUACAAAGACAUUUGAAUUUUGCACUAAUAUGUCAUAAGCACUGCACCCAUUGCAAAUUAAUGAGUCUCUGAAUAGCACUGUGCAUUUGUCAUUUGAAUUUAUGCUAAUGCAACGAGGUCUCCUGUGAUGCUGAUAGCCCACAGCAGCUGCUGGAGCCACAGAUGAGACCAGCACUUGCCUUCCACUUUGCGUCACCACCUCUCCUCCUGGCUUUUCCAGCCUGUCACUUAGGCUGCAACCCUGUAGCUCGCUAUUGAUAGGACUGAGAAUUAUCUUUGACUUUGCCCUACUGGCCUGACCCCAACACUGAACACACGUAACAGAUUGGUGUUGAGAGAAUUACGUACAUCACAAGGUGACAGCCCCAGACCAGGAGGUCACAAGGAGUUCACUGAGAACCAGUGGUAUUUAAAAAGGAUGUUGGCGUGGAAAUUGGCAAUAUUUUCCAGUUCUCUGGUGUGACUUAUAUCAAUAAGUGCAUCUAAGAAAGUGACUGACUUUUGCCACGGUGGUGAACAGCACGUGUAUGUGUGUGCAAAUGUAGAAGAGGGUUCUCUCGGGGCUUUCCUCUCCUGUUCAUGCUGAAAUCUAAUAAAACGGUGAUGGCAAGCUUCUGGGGGUAUCAGGUCAUCUGGGUCUUCAUCAUGGUUGUUCACAUUGCCUUUUGAUCAAAGGGGUGUGGGGAGUCGACUAGCUCCGGUGGUAGGAUGGUUGGUACAAGGGGCAAGUGUGUGGGAGGGACAUGCACAGAGAACCAUUUUUGUGUGUCAUGAGUCAGUGACAAAAAGUUCCCCGUGUCUUUCCCUGGAAAUGAAAACUUUUCUUAGGCUGGGGCUUCUAUUUGACCUGCUUCUAGAACUAAGGAUGAAGGCAUGUUGAGUUUAUUCUAAUGGAUUCAAGAAAUUGGAUUUGGGGUCUGGAGAUGACACGGAAAAAUGAAGCAGAAAAUUCAAACGAAAACACAGAAUUAUCCAUCUAGAUCACACACUUUUUGAAAAUUGCUUCUGAUUUGAAGGAAUGUUCUUUGCUUUGCUGGGGAACAAAGAGAAGCAUACAAACUUUUUCUUUUGAAUAAUUUUUUAGGAGGGGAUGAACAAACAAACAUUCAUUCUGGUUAUGAUGUAGCAUUGUUAGCCUCCAUUUCCAGAAUUUAAAUGAAGCCGACAAGGCAGACAGCUCCUGAAUUAUCUCCAAGACACUUUCUAAGGCCCGCAGGUGAGAUUGUUCCCCAAGUGGCAUCGAGACGUACACAGUGCAGAGGUGACAGUGACCUGUUUGUUUCAGAGACGGUGCCUGAGAACAGGAAGGCUCUUUUCUGAACCAGGAAACUCAGCUAUGUCGGAAGAAUUUCACCCAGACUCCACAGACCGAAGCAGAUUCUGCUUUGCUCUCUUUGUGAAAGACAACUGGAUGAGUGAAGAUUACUACUUGCAACGAGAGUAGCAAUUUAUCUGAAAUGAGAGGCAGAGAGAAAACAAUAUGUACUUUUUGCUGAUUCUGACUCAGAAUGGGCGGUGGUGAGGAAUAUUACUGAAUAAUGUUAUCCAGGUGGAAAGAGAACUAUGAAAAGUGUAAGGAAGCCAGGAGUGAUACUCGGGGUGAAAAUUCAGAUACAAUGAAGUGCUUGGAAGACUUUGAAUGUGAUUACAGUGAUAAAAAGUGAAGACAUAAUGUCAGUCGGAAUUGAAAGGAUGCAGAAUGGGUUGAUACUCAGAAAAUGAGUAUUUUGGAGAAGUUGGCCACUUUCUUAUCAAUACCAUCUGCAAUCCAUGGCAGAGACGAUAUUCUGUCAAACGCAAUUGCACGUACUACAGCAUGAUAAACAGGACUCUUUCUUCCUCAGUUCUGGCUGAGGCACGAAGACAUUGGAAACUAGAUUCAAGAAUGAAUCAUGAGGUGAUCAGUCACCUGAGAACCAGAAAGAUGACCCUGGAAUCCAGGGUGAGGAUCAAGAAAGUAGUGAGAGAAUGGGAGGUGGAGAGAGCUCUGAGCGUUGUGGGCUCAUGGGAGUCACUGGAGAGGUGCCUUUAUCUCAAGCCUUGUGAGAGAGGUUCAGAGGCACAGAGGCUUGGAGGACCUGAAGUGCGUUCCAUACAAGUGGAGAACACAGAGCCACGUGCGAUUCACACCUGAGAGAGGUAGGGCAGCCUGUAAGGGACAAGGAUCCUAUCUGGAAAGUUUCCGAACGUGCCUGUGUGAUGGGACCGAAGGUGUGUGAAUGGCAGCCUUGGAGAGAUUUCAGUGGAAUCGUGAGCUUGGGGCCAUUUGAACAUGGGACUCUGUAAAACAAGGUUGUGCCUGUUAUCUCGGAACUUCACAGUAUGUGGACAGGGAGGAUAUCACAGAGGAGAGAAGCUGCGGAAGGGUGCGGACCAGCCAGCCACAGGCGAAGGAACCGGACAAAGGAAUUGCAGCUGGAGGUGCCCAGAGGGAAAGUCUUCACAGAAUCUGCAGAACCACCCAGAGAGGAUGAUCCACUUGGUCGUCUGCUGGGCCUGAAGAACACAAGACCUUUCCACGAUGGUUCAGCCAAGAGAGAACUUUCAACUUUCUUUUGUCUCUCUUCCUUCCUACUUUGCACGCAGUUCUAGAAGGCUAAGAAAUAAGCAGUGACUGAAUGAGGGAGAAAGAAAAAUGAAGCGAGGGAGUAUCUCCUGGUCCUGAAGGUGUGGAAAACUGAUGGUCCCUUUCUUCCACAUCCCUUUACACUUUUACUUGGUGAGUGAUCUCCUCUUAUUGUCUGUAACUAGAAGCAUUUGGUGGGAAAUAAAUGAUCAAGAAGUUAUCUGACAACCUGGUGCAAACCUCCCUGUCUCUUGCCUCUCAGUUCUCGUCCCUCUUGUGGGAAGAUAUAGAAGGACUUGUUGAAAAACAACGGAGGGGCUGGCACUGUGGUGUAGCAGGUAAAGCAGCCACCUUGGGUGCCGGGAUCCCAUAUGGUGCUGGUUGGAGUCCUGGUUGCUCCAUUUCUGAUCUGGCUUCCUGCUAAUGUGCCUGGGAAAGCAGGGGAGGAUGGCCCAAGUGCUUGGGCAGCUGCAUCCACAUGGGAGAGUCAGAAGGAGCUCCUGGCUUUGGCCUUUCUCAGGCUUGGCUGUUGCAGCCAUUUGGGGAGUAAACCAGCAGAUGGAAGAUCUCACUCUCUCUGUCUCUCUCUGUAAC